CCUACGGGAGGCAGCAGUGGGGGAUAUUGCACAAUGGGGGGAACCCUGAUGCAGCGACGCCGCGUGGGUGAAGGAGUGCUUCGGCAUGUAAAGCCCUAUUGGCCGGGAAGAAGCAAGACGGUACCUGACUAAGAAGCCCCGGCUAACUACGUGCCAGCAGCUGCGGGAAUACGUAGGGGGCGAGCGUUACCCGGAGUCACGGGGUGGAAAGGGAGCGUAGACGGGCAUGAAAGCCAGGGGUGAAAGCCCGGGGCCCAACCCCGGGACUGCCCUUGAAAAUGGAUGGCUGGAGUGCGGGAGGGGCAGGCGGAAUUCCUGGUGGAGCGGUGAAAUGCGUAGAUAUCAGGAGGAACACCGGCGGCGAAGGCGGCCUGCUGGACCGCGACUGACGUUGAGGCUCGAAAGCGUGGGGAGCGAACAGGAUUAGAUACCCGAGUAGUC
rnacentral:rRNA from 1 species